rnacentral:rRNA from 1 species
AAACCGUUCAGGGGUAAACCUAAGAAACCCAAAAGAUCGAACGGGGAGAUUCAUCGUCAGCGGCGCUGGCUUCGCGUCGGUGGGCGAUGUCCCGCGGAGUCCUCGCGGCUCGCGCGCGGGCACGCUACCGUGCGUCGAUGUCCGGCUGUCGUCGUCGUGCACUUCUCCCCAAGUAGAACGUCGCGACCCGCUGGGUGUCGGUCUACGGCCCGGGUGCGGUGACUGUCGCGUCGCCGGUAAAACGGCACGCGACAAACCCUCGGUCGCCCGGCCGGCUGCUCGGCGGUACGCGCAAGGUAUCAGGCCGCACUUCUACACGGUGCGUCGAGGCCGUCGCAAGCGCGCGCCACGGUACUCGGAGGUUACGGACUUUGCGCCGUCCCCGGUCCUGGCCCGCUGUUGGUUAAAGUACGGAUCACCUUCGACAGGCCCGCGAACGUCUCUCUCACGGGGGACGGAUACCGGUCGGCGACGCUACUGCUUUGGGUACUCUUAGGA